UAAUGAUUAUUUUUGAUUUGAUAAUUAAUUUUUCUUUAAAAACAAAAUGGAUAUUAAACAUAGUCAUGUGGCUAUGUUUGGGGACUUAUGUCACUUAAGUCUUUUAUAUGAUUUAUUUUAGGCAGAAAAUAUUGAUGACAUAAUCAUGAAUAAUGGGCAAUUUUUUUAAAGUAAAAGUUAAUAAAGAACAUUUGUUUAUAUUCAGAAUCAUACCAUUUAUAUUACACCAUAUUACGAAGUUGUGAACAUCAGAUUAGAAGUAUUCAGCAUCAAAGUCAGAAUUAAUAGGCAUAAUCAAUUUUACAUCAUCUGCUAAGAGCAAUAUUUUCGAAUAUUUUAAACAAUUCUCUACAUCAUUGAUUAACAAUAGAAAAAGGAAGGAUGAUGACAAAUGAUCGCUUUGAGGGACGCUUGAGGUUACCUUAUUGUUUGAGUAGACAUUUUUAUAUUUAACAAUUUGGUUUCUGUUAAUUAAAAUGAUUUUAACCAUGAUAAAAUUGAAUUCAAGAUAUCAAUAAAUUAUUUAAAAACUUUAAAUUGUUACUGAACCAGUAAGGAUAAUUCGACUUGAAAGAAAUCGUUUUUUGAAUAUAUAAUUCUAAUACAUGAAAUAAAUGCUGAUAAAAAUUUACGAAAUUCAAGUUAACAUAACUGCGACAUAAUAAUUGUUUCUGAUCAAUGGAACCCAAGUAAGUUAAAUUAGCCUUAUAAUCUCCAUUUUUCAUAAAUAAAUAGGUUCACUAAAAUUCAAAUAUUGUAUAUGGUAACAGGUGUAGUAGAUGUUUAGUGGUGGGUGGAUAUUAUUUUCGCCAUUUGGUUUAAAUUUUCUCCGAUUAAAAUGUUAUUAUAAUUUGAAAUUAAUUUAUCUAAGGUAGUACUAUUAAUAUUUUUAAUAUGAUUAAAUUGAGAUAGAUUGAAAUUAGAGAUUUGUUCAUUAAAAAAUGUUUCAUAAUCAUAAAAAGAGGUAGAAAGUAGACUAUAAUUACUAAAUAUUAUCGGAAUUAUGGUUUUCUAGAAGUAAAUUUUCAACAGUGGAAAAGUGAUCUAAACAAAAUUGUUUAUUAGAAUGAACAGGCAUGUAAAUGAACUAUUAAUUAUAUGUUUAUUACCUAAAGAAACUAAUAUAAACAUUUGUUCUAAAUUAUUAAUUGGAAUAUGAAGUAACCUAGUAAAACAUUUUUUGUUAACGGCUAUUAGAACUUCUCUCGUGAUAGUACUGGCGUUUGUGCUUCAAUGAAAAUAUAGAUGCCAAAAUUUGAAGACGGACUUAUGAAUUUAGAGAAGAUAUUUUGUUGUUUACGCUGCGUAGGUAUAUUUUGAUAAUAGAUGUUGAUAGAAAUUGGAGUUGAUAUUACGUGUUUUUUGACAAAGUAAUUAAUUUAGGUUCACCCUUUAUAUAUUUUAUUAUGAUAUUUUGUUCCCCAUUUUGUCUGCGUUGAUUUAAUUAUUUCCUUAAGUUAGAAAUUUGUUCUCUUUGUAAUGUCGUUCAAUCA